GUAAGGAAUAUUGGUCAAUGGACGCAAGUCUGAACCAGCCAUGCCGCGUGAAGGAUGAAGGCCCUCUGGGUUGUAAACUUCUUUUAUCUGGGACGAAAAAAGGGGAUUCUUCCUCACUUGACGGUACCAGAGGAAUAAGCACCGGCUAACUCCGUGCCAGCAGCCGCGGUAAUACGGAGGGUGCAAGCGUUAUCCGGAUUUACUGGGUUUAAAGGGUGCGUAGGUGGGUAGGUAAGUCAGUGGUGAAAUCUUCGAGCUUAACUCGGAAACUGCCAUUGAUACUAUUUAUCUUGAAUACUUUGGAGGUAAGCGGAAUAUGUCAUGUAGCGGUGAAAUGCUUAGAUAUGACAUAGAACACCAAUUGCGAAGGCAGCUUACUACACAGUCAUUGACACUGAGGCACGAAAGCGUGGGGAUCAAACAGG
rnacentral:rRNA from 1 species